AGAGUUUGAUUAUGGCUCAGAACGUACGCUGGCGGCACGCCUAACACAUGCAAGUCGAACGAAGUAGCAAUACUUAGUGGCAGACGGGUGAGUAACAUGUAGGUAUCUACCCUUUGGCCUGGAAUAACACGAGGAAACUUGUGCUAAUACCGGAUAAGUCUUUACGGAGAAAGCUUUAUGCACCAUUGGAUGAGCCUGCACUUGAUUAGUUUGUUGGUAGGGUAAUGGCCUACCAAGACUAUGAUCAAUAGCUGAUUUGAGAGGAUGAUCAGCCACAUUGGGACUGAGACACGGCCCAAACUCCUACGGGAGGCAGCAGUGGGGAAUCUUGCACAAUGGAGGAAACUCUGAUGCAGCGAUGCCGCGUGAGUGAAGAAGGCCCUUGGGUUGUAAAGCUCUUUCGUCGGGGAAGAAAAUGACUGUACCCGAAUAAGAAGGUCCGGCUAACUUCGUGCCAGCAGCCGCGGUAAUACGAAGGGACCUAGCGUAGUUCGGAAUUACUGGGCUUAAAGAGUUCGUAGGUGGUUGAAAAAGUUGGUGGUGAAUUCCCAGAGCUUAACUCUGGAACUGCCAUCAAAACUUUUCAGCUAGAGUAUGAUAGAGGAAAGCAGAAUUUCUAGUGUAGAGGUGAAAUUCGUAGAUAUUAGAAAGAAUACCAAUUGCGAAGGCAGCUUUCUGGAUCAUUACUGACACUGAGGAACGAAAGCAUGGGUAGCGAAGAGGAUUAGAUACCCUCGUAGUCCAUGCCGUAAACGAUGUGUGUUAGACGUUGGAAAUUUAUUUUCAGUGUCGCAGCGAAAGCGAUAAACACACCGCCUGGGGAGUACGACCGCAAGGUUAAAACUCAAAUGAAUUGACGGGGACCCGCACAAGUAGUGGAGCAUGUGGUUUAAUUCGAAGAUACGCGCAGAACCUUACCAACACUUGACAUGUUCGUCGCGACUCUAAGAGAUUAGAGUUUUCGGUUCGGCCGGACGAAACACAGGUGCUGCAUGGCUGUCGUCAGCUCGUGUCGUGAGAUGUUGGGUUAAGUCCCGCAACGAGCGCAACCCUCACUUUUAGUUGCCAUCAUUAAGUUGGGCACUCUGAAAGAACUGCCAGUGAUAAGCUGGAGGAAGGUGGGGAUGACGUCAAGUCAUCAUGGCCCUUACGUGUUGGGCUACACACGUGCUACAAUGGUAUCUACAACAGGAAGCAAAACGGCAACGUUAAGCAAAUCCCGAAAAGAUACCUCAGUUCGGAUUGCACUCUGCAACUCGAGUGCAUGAAGCUGGAAUUACCAGUAAUCGUGGAUCAGCGUGCCACGGUGAAUGCGUUCCCGGGUCUUGUACACACCGCCCGUCACACCAUGGGAGUUGGUUCUACCUUAAGGCAAGGUUUUAAACCCUUGACCACGGUAUAGUCAGCGACUGGGGUGAAGUCGUAACAAGGUA
rnacentral:rRNA from 1 species